AAAAAAUUUUCCUAUAAAAGGAAAGUAUUUUGAUAAAGAAAACAUUCUAAACACCUCCCACUCUGUUUAUUGAUGUAAAAUGGGUGGGUGCACAAACGUCUGGUCCUCUCUCAGUAAGUAUCACAGUUUAGUUCACUCUCACACAUAUGAGCACCGACAUGGCAGCUGACCAGAGAAACGAGCCAGGCAUUGUGAUCGAAGACAGCUGGGCAGGUUACAGUUUGGAGCUGUUUAAUUAUCCUGAGCAUUUGUCCAGCAGGUGAUCUGGAGUGUGUGUACAUCCCUCAUGGAGUCAUUAUGAACAGGAUUGAGUGUCUGGCCAGAGAUAUCCUUGAAGACAUCGGACAUCAUGAUCUGAUGGUUCUGUGUGUUCUGACCUGGUGGAGUCAAUUAAAGCUCAGAGCCGCAGCGCCAACAGAAGACUGACCACCAGAGUAGAGUUCAUCUGCUUCAAGAGCUAUCUGUGUGUGAGGAGUAAGUCAGUACAUCAGCAUCAGACAAGGUAACAUUGGUAACAAGGUAACAUUUACACAUAAUUUGAUUAAAUGUAAAAAAUUAGUAUGCUGUGAGCUAAUAUUCAUGCAAAUUGAAAUUGAGAAUGAUGCUCUGUGCCCAAUAUAAGGUCGGGUUUGAAUCUUUAGGCUUAUUAAAAACUUUUUUAUAUUUCAGAUACAGUAUUGUCUAAUAUUCAUUGCAGUUUAAUUUGAUGAAGCAAACUUAAAUAACUAAGACUGAAACUAAAGUACAUAAUAAUAAUAAAAAAAUCAUUUAAAAACAAUAAAAACUAAUAAAAAUGGCAAAAACACACAACACAAAUAGUAAAACUUUAAAGCAACACUAUGUACAUUUUGGCGCUCUAGCGGUUAAUAAACAGAACUGCACGCAUCCCGCGGAAGAACAUUCUAACCGGAGCUACUUCUCCAAGUUUAUGUCUAUGGCGAUUCACGCAGGUAUGUGUUACUCCGCAGCAGUGACGACCCGAAUAGGCUAAUAGUCCAAAAUAAUCACUUAUUAUAAAUGUACCGUAGUGAUUUGGGAUAAGACAAAAAGGCGGUUUGGUAGAUGAAUUUAUGAUGUACUCGCACAUUAUAUAUAUUUUGCAAAUUUUGAACACAGAAAAAGUUACAUAGUGUUGCAUUAACAUUAAAAUCAGAAUCGUAAAAAAAGCACCGCACACACAUAUAAAAGAUAAAAACAGAAAAUGCCUCUAAUAAACCAUAUUAAUAAAUGCUUUCAUCUGAGACUUUAUAAAUUGAUCCCUUUAAUGAACUGGUUCAAAAUGACUGACUCACCCAUUCAAAUUCAUUUUGUAGUACAUAUUUUAAUUAAAUGCUACUGUUUUAUCAACAUAUUUCUAUAAGGUUAUUAAUAUGAAAUGUUUUUUGCAGUAAUUUCACUCACCUCACAGACUUUGCUCCCAAUAUUCUCACAUUUACAAACCCUUUGCUAAUAGUUUACAUUAAUUAUUUAAGAACCGAUUCUUUUAAAUAGUUCAUCAGCUAACUGACUGAUGAUGACUGCUGUGUGCGUGUGUGUGUGUCUUUAAAUGCAAAUAACACCACUAUAGUAAUCAAACUUGUCUUUUAGUACAUAUUAUCAAAAUAAGUGUCUAUCUACAACUGAAAUACACAGAGAAUCCACUCUGAGGAUACAGUAAAGGUCAAAUUGUUCUGUCAUGGCUGGGUGGGUCUUCAAAGUCGGGUGAUUUACUCAUGGGCCCCCGAGGAGCCUCCAGUCCAUCAGCCAGUGGCUCCACUUCCUGUCUGAACACAACCGACCCAGAACAUUCAUCUCAAGCACAGAAGAGCCACUUCACCCAUUCACAGAAGAUCAACUUGACCCUGAGCAGAGGACGCAACCCAAUUGUCUCAUCAGACAAAAGCAGCUUCUGUCGGGCAUACAGCAGUCGAUUGUGUCCGCGGUGCUCAUGUCUAUAGAGACUGUAAGAUCAUAUGUGCUGACAGGGCCACAGUAGGGACCUUUUAACGUCCAUCUCUGUAUUUUCCUCACUGUGUGUUUUACAAAAUGACCAGUCCACUGAAGAUAUGCACAUUAUUGGACCAGAUGACCUCUCCAUGCUGAAAGGGAAGGUAUUGUACCAGUUUUUUUUUUUUUUUUGGGUAAUAAGAAAGCAUUAAAAUGAGCUUUAUUAUCAGUGAUUAAGGCACCAUUGCUCAUGCAGUAUUUAGAGAUAGUGCUUUGAACAACCUCUAUUAAACGUACCAAUGAUACAAACAUGAAUGAUACCUCAAAUCAGAUUGUGGCUUUUUGAACAGAGUUGGAAUUACUUUUCUUAGGGUAGGUACUUUUACAUAACAACAAUUGUACUAAAAAUGUACGAAAAGUUCUUCAUUUGCAUUUGUGAAAAGUUUCAUAUACAGAUGACAACGUUGUCAAAAUGAUCCCUGUUCACGAAAACAACUAAAAACCAAGUGCAGUACAAAACCCAGUACAGGUCAAAAACUCCACCCUCUCCAUUUAAAUGAAUAGGAUGUAAGCCAAAAUAAAAAUGUACACUUUUACACUUCAAAUUAUUUCCAUCAUUUUAUUUAGGUAGUUCUUAUCAUGCUGAUGAAUGUUAAAGUGCUUAUGUUUGUAAAAUGUUUACUUUUUGUUGAUGCUAUAAAACCGGGGUGUGGUGUCAUGAUUUUGAACUUACGAUUGGGUCUGCGGGAGUUUGGGAGGAACUAUGACACAGCGGCUACAUCUCAUGAUCACAACUGUGCAGACCUGAACUCCAAAUGAAUCAAUACUGUGCAGUUUCUGGCUCCAAAUGAAUCAAUACUGCGCAUACUCGAGCUCCAAAAGAAUCACUACUGCACAUACUCUGGGUCCAAAUGAAUCACUACUGCACAUACUCUGGCUCCAAAUGAAUCACUACUGCACAUACUAUGGCUCCAAAAGAAUCACUACUGCACAUACUCUGGGUCCAAAUGAACAACUACUGCACAGACUCAGUGUCCAAAUGAACCAUUACUGUGCAGACCUUGGCUCAAAAUGAACCACUACUGAACAGACUUGGCCUCCAAAUGAACCAUUACUGCGCAGACUCUGGCUCAAAAUGAAUCACUACUGAACAGACUAGGCCUCCAAAUGAACCAUUACUGUGCAGCCUCUGACUCCAAAUGAACCACUACUGUGCAGACUCUGGCUCCAAAUGAAUCAUUACUGUGGAGACUCUGGCUCCAAAUAAAUCACUACUGAACAGACUCAGCCUCCAAAUGAACCAUUACUGCAUAUACUCUGGCUCCAAAUGAACGACUACUGAACAGACUCAGCUUCCAAAUGAACCAUUACUGUGCAGAUUCUGGCUCCAAAUGAACCACUACUGCACAGACUCUGUCUCCAAAUGAACCAUUACUGUACAGACUCGGCCUCCAAUUGAAUCACUACUGUGCAGACCCUGGCUCAAAAUGAAUCACUACUGCACAGACUCAGCUUCCAAAUGAACCAUUACUGCGCAGACUCGGCCUCCAAUUAAACCACUACUGAAUGGACUCAGCCUUCAAAAAAAAAAAACACUACUGCACAGACAAGCCAGUAGUUGGCGAUAUCACUUUGGCAUUUUCUAAAUUGUCAUUGUCAAAUGUGUCUUGUCAUGUAAGAAACCACUGCAAACUAUUCAGUGCAUAAUUGAACUGCAGAAUGAAUCAAACUGAAUCGCAAACUAAUUCAGAACAUAUUUUGCAAACUCCUGCUUUCAGACAGAAAGUUGCUUGGUUUGCCUCAGGUCUUUUCUUAAAUGUAAAGGUACUUCAUUGUUUGGCAAUAAAAUCAAUUAAUUUCAAUACAAAACCUUACAAUCAUAAAUUAAAAUAGAUGGACUGAGACCAAUGUCCAGUCACUUCUCCGUCCUCUGUCCUCCAUUUGUUGACGAUACUGAAUGCCACACAUAAAUGACAUUGCUGUUGCCCGGCUUAUGACAGUUCAGAGUUCCUACUGCUGGUGCACAUGCAACCAAAUUUAGUACCUGGGGAACUGCGCUGGUGGCUAGUUCCUGUAACUGAGUUCCUAUAACCACCCAGAGCAAAAGCCCCUUAAAAUAUCAGAGACAGAGAGACUUAGAGAUGGACCCUUUUGACUUGUCCAGUAAACAACCAAUUAGAACACUCUAAUAUCCAUAUCACCAGACAACAUCCUACUACUCAGAAUGCCCUAGCAACUUCCUUUGCAUACACUGAAAAACUGUACAUUCCUUGUUAAGAUUCCAUUCAACUUAUCUAUAAAUGCAAAGAAAUUAAAUUGUUUUGUUUUAAUAGUACACCAGCUCUCAGUACAAAGUGUGAAGC
ensembl:lncRNA